CAAGGUCGAUCCUUUGCCACAUUCCCGGAGCUUGUUAGCUCAUUGUCCCAGCUGACUUAGCUGUCUUAGCUAGCUCACCCAACUAGUUGAGCUGAACCACUUCACUUGAGGUUUGCCGCUCCGUUCCAGCUGAUCGAGCUGCAUAAACUCUUCCCUUGGGUACUUAGUCAUUCAGCCAACCAUCCCCGCAGACAUAAGUAACCUUUGGGAAGUCUUCAAUCAGCUAAGGACAUGCAUCUGGCCCUUACCGGUUCAUGCACUGUCCCACAUCCUUUUGCCUUAUCAACUUAUGAUAUCAAGUCCAGCUCAUGGACUAAUCAUACCAAGUCCUCUCAUGGACUAACCAGAUCAAGUCCUCACAAAGACUAACACUGCCCAUCAGAUCCUGAGUCAAUCAACCAACCACCCCACAUGACUCAG
rnacentral:lncRNA from 1 species